GUCCUUGUGGCGCAGCGGAUAGCGCGCUGGACUUCUAAUCCAGAGGCCGCGGGUUCGAGUCCCGUCAGGGAUA
rnacentral:tRNA from 1 species